UGGGCUAUUUUCCCGGGUCUCACAGACAGCGGUGGGGCAGACAGGCACCCACACUCAAGCCAAGAAGAGGGGAGCCACGGAAGCUCCUAUCCAGCAACCGGCCCUGUGAGGAGGCUUUCCUUGGAGAAGGUUUCAUUUUCAUUUUUUGUUUCCUUCCUCCUGGCGCCCAGGCGGACUAAUGGGGCGGGUCGCCGUCAGGUCCGCGACCUUGCUCUUGGCUGCGCGCCUGGAGAGGUGGCCCGGGCCGGGCACUGUGCGGGGCGCGGCGCCAGGCGGGGGCGCCCGGGGCCUUCGUGUCGCCACGGGGGCGGGGGGCGUCCUUGGGCGCCGACUCGCUGCAGCCCGGGCCACCGGAUCAGUCCCGCGGCUCCGGGGAUCAAAGCAGUGAAGAGUCGGCCGUGCAGGAUGAGCUUGCCGCACCCCAGCAGUAUGAUGCCCAACUCUUCAGUCCCCGCCGAAGAAGGAAGGAAGGGGACCAACGCAGAAGGCGCAGAGGCUCAGCGACGCCCGGCUGAUAUCUACCUGCAGUACUCAACGCUGAGGAGAGCCUUUGUCCCUCUCGGCAAUUGGAGCCACUGGCCAGAGGCUUGAAUUCAGGCAGCUCUACCAUCUCCACCAUUUCCAGAACCUCGGAAGAAUCACUUCUUCAAUGGCCCAGGUCAAUGUGCAAUAACUGAAUAAAAGAGAAAAUUCCAUAAAUCAACUGGAAACAAAGAUGAAAUCAUAGGAAGAUCCUUAUCAUGCGGGUAAAACUUAAAGUCAAGGUGUAGCAGGUAUGAUUAACUGCUUAAGCUGAUUUGCUUUGCUUGGAUGAUUUCCCUCCCCGUUUUCUACUCUCAGUCCCACAAGACCCUGGAGCCAACAGCAGGAACAUCUACAGGAAGUCUUUUGGGAUCCCUAUCAGAAUCCUCCCUCACCCCUAUGGUUCCCUGUCUCCCACUCUGGGAUUUAACACCUGUUCUGGGUAAUAUCAGCUGUGACAUGUCAUGCUCUUUCUUCCAGGGGACUGACUGUCCCUUGCUGACAUUAGCUGAGCUGGUUGCUUCUAUGUUGGCCCUGCAGUGUAAGGGUUGAACAGAACAGGUGCUUGGGACAAUUUUGUCUAUUUAUCUAUCUAUCAUCUAUCUAUCUAUCUAUCAAUGUAUCUAUCAUUUAAUCUAUCUAAUCUAGUUUUGCACUACUGUGGAUUGAACCUAGACUUUCACUCUGAGAUACAUCCCCAGAACUUUCUAUUUUAAAAUAAAUAAAUCACUAAGUUGCCCAGCCUGGGCUCCAGCUUCCCAUCCGUCUGCCUUGGCCUCCCAAAAUUCUGGGAUUACAGGCCUGUACCACCACAUCCAGCUUACAGUUUUGCUUAAGAGUGAGAGGUGGGUAAAAUAAAUUGCAGCCAUGGACUUUGAGAGCUAGAGAAGGAAGAACCCCUUGGGUUUGGGAUACUAAGGGCUGCUCCAUGGAAAGCACAUGCUGCGGCCCACCCCAUGCACCUCUUUAACAAAGAUUUCUGUCUCUGGAGUGUACAGGAAAGUUUCAGGAAGAGUGGCUGGGGCAAAUGCACUCCUGGACCUUUCCAGAAGGCAAAAAAUCCCUACUCUGUGCAUGACAGCAGUUGUGGCCCUCAGGGAUGGUCUUACAUUUGGACAAGAUAUAGCAGCCAUGGGGCCUGUUGAGACUAAGUGCAUGCUGGGAGCUGAUGUCACUAGAAUAGGCUCUACAUGCGGGUGUAUAGACCUUUACCUUUAGGAUCUUUGGGAUUGUAAAACACUUCUAUACCUCAGAGACCAGGUCCUGGAGAUUGGAGGCAGUGGUUGAGGAGACUUUGGGGAGGCAGGUUGGUGUGGGACAGUACAGAAGGGAGGUUAGGUCUCCUGAGAGAAAGUUCCCAGAAGCUCUAUUGCAAUGCCCAGAAGACUUUGACAAAAAUGCCUGCUUCCAUAUCACUUCAGUAGGCAGGAAACCAAAUAAAGGGCAACUCACUUCUUCUCUAGCUUCUGUGUCUUGAGAAUCUCAACAAACAAGAGACUGUUACAGUUUUUGUGUCCUGUGGUCCAGUAUUUGAGGCCAGCAACCCACACACCUACACGUGUACACAGAUACCCCGAGAGUGAAGGUGAGAUGAAAGGCUACCCUGCAGCCUGGUCCUUAACAACCUUUUCCUGUCUCCCUCUCCCACACAGAUGGGUGACGCUGCACUGUCCACCAGGCACUUUGUUAGAGGUCAGCAAGAAAUUAGCCUGGUCUUUGUCCCUCUUGGAACUCUGAGUUUAAUGGAAGACACAUAUUCAACCAAAUAAUCAAGUGCUCUAAUCACCAGGAAAGGUACCAUUAGAGAGGAAGGAGAGAAAAGUCACUUGCUCAGGGGGACAGACAAUGGAAUGUCACCUGAUCCAGUCUCUGGGAAGUCAGGGUCAGCCUUACCUACCCUAUUUUGAAAUAAUGGGAAAAAUAUUUGAAAGCAAAAGUAAAUAAAGCCCUUUCUGCCUGCUAAGAAUACGUACCUGGGAGCUGAACUUUGGAGACUUGAUGAAGUCUAUGGCUGCUGAUUCCGAGAGCAGAGGCAAAGCCAUGGCAGGCAAGCCUUGCAGGAAGGGCGCUAACUUGCUUUGCACACUGGGGUCUGUGAAUGUAAGUAUGAGUUUAUUUGUUUGAGCUACUGGAGAGAGAGGUGUCUUGCUAAUAAGGAAAGAGAUGAAAUCCAAUAGACAAAUUUGUCAUUGAGUUUUAUAGGGUCUGCUUUGUGGAAGUGCCCCCACCUUCCUCUCCUUCCUCCAUGCUAUUCCUCUGGGUUGCUAGUGAAGUCCUGGGGGCAGCUUCCUGCAGCGAGUGCUACUCUGGGUGGGAGGUGGAAGGGUCUGGCAGACAGCAGAAGGCAUUUAAAGUGGAAGUGAAGACCUCAGGAUCUCCUGAAUUUGGCCAGUGCCGGAAGUUGGAGUCCUGCACCCUGGGACUCUCCAGGAGGAUUUUGGACAUAUCCCAGCUCAUGAGGUUGGUGCUGGAGUUGAUUUUGACUUGACAUCUGGAUCACAUUAAUGCCGAGAACUGCGGAUGGAGAAAGAAACUCUUCAUUUGUUAUUUGGUACAAACACUAGUCCAGUUUUAAGGGGUAAAAAAAAAAAAAAAUCAGGAUUCUAGGAUUAUUUUUAAACAAAACCUUUCAUUAAAUCUGAGUAUGUUCAGUAGCUGGUGCUAAUGGCUACAAAGUGUGGACAAGUGGGUGUCCUGCUGAACCUGCGCUCUUGAAGGACCAGGAGGACCACUUGUCACCAGCAUGGGAAAUGCCUGCUUCCCCAGGGUAGGUCUGAGACACUUGAAAACUGCUUGACUGAAAAGAUUGUAAAAAUGGUACCCCACAGGGUCUGUGCACAGAACUACACUCAGCAGGUCUUUUGUGCACAGGUAGGGCAAGAUACAUCUGUCUGGUCCAUACCUGAAUUUUCACUGACUGCAAAUUAUUUGGUAGCAGAUUAAUAAAAGCUGCUUGAUCAGGAAUCUCAAGGCCUCCAAGUCAUGUUUAG
rnacentral:lncRNA from 1 species